UUGCUUCAUGGUGUAUAAAUACACUUUCUACUUGUAUGUAUUAUUAAAAUUUUGAUAGUUGAAUAAUUUUACUAUUAUUUUGGAGAUGUGAUGUUCUAGUAUGAUAAAGAGUAAAAAAAUUACUCUUUUUCCUUUGUCUUCUCUUUUCUCUCUCUCCCCUCGUUUCUCGAUUUUCUUUCUCUCUUUUUGUCUCCCAAGAAUCCUUAAUCCUCUUCCUUCUUUCUUUG
rnacentral:lncRNA from 1 species